AGCGGACAGAUGGGAGCUUGCUCCCUGAUGUUAGCGGCGGACGGGUGAGUAACACGUGGGUAACCUGCCUGUAAGACUGGGAUAACUCCGGGAAACCGGGGCUAAUACCGGAUGGUUGUUUGAACCGCAUGGUUCAAACAUAAAAGGUGGCUUCGGCUACCACUUACAGAUGGACCCGCGGCGCAUUAGCUAGUUGGUGAGGUAACGGCUCACCAAGGCAACGAUGCGUAGCCGACCUGAGAGGGUGAUCGGCCACACUGGGACUGAGACACGGCCCAGACUCCUACGGGAGGCAGCAGUAGGGAAUCUUCCGCAAUGGACGAAAGUCUGACGGAGCAACGCCGCGUGAGUGAUGAAGGUUUUCGGAUCGUAAAGCUCUGUUGUUAGGGAAGAACAAGUACCGUUCGAAUAGGGCGGUACCUUGACGGUACCUAACCAGAAAGCCACGGCUAACUACGUGCCAGCAGCCGCGGUAAUACGUAGGUGGCAAGCGUUGUCCGGAAUUAUUGGGCGUAAAGGGCUCGCAGGCGGUUUCUUAAGUCUGAUGUGAAAGCCCCCGGCUCAACCGGGGAGGGUCAUUGGAAACUGGGGAACUUGAGUGCAGAAGAGGAGAGUGGAAUUCCACGUGUAGCGGUGAGAUGCGUAGAGAUGUGGAGGAACACCAGUGGCGAAGGCGACUCUCUGGUCUGUAACUGACGCUGAGGAGCGAAAGCGUGGGGAGCGAACAGGAUUAGAUACCCUGGUAGUCCACGCCGUAAACGAUGAGUGCUAAGUGUUAGGGGGUUUCCGCCCCUUAGUGCUGCAGCUAACGCAUUAAGCACUCCGCCUGGGGAGUACGGUCGCAAGACUGAAACUCACAGGAAUUGACG
rnacentral:rRNA from 1 species